CCGGCCCGCCAAGCUUAGCUCUUCCCAUGCCCAGGUUCUGUUCCUCCAACAGUGCCCCGCCACCGGAACCGCCCCUGGUCUCCUUGGCUGCCUAUCCCGAAGUCCAACUGUGUACAGAGUCAAGAAGCAAACUGGGAAGAACAGUUCCAAUCUACGAGAAUCCUCGGAUGCCAAAUCCGCCUUCCGACCCCGCACUGAAAACCGGACAAACUUUUGGGCGGAAGUGAACUGAGAAGCGGCCCGCACAGGGCCGGAAGUGGAAGCGCAGGGCGGAACUGAAGAAGGAAGCGGGAUCCUGGGAGCUGGUGUAGUUUUUCCUCUCGGUGGACGCCUUGGGCCGCUGGGAGGGGCGAUGUCGUGUGUGCACAAUGGGCUUCGGUCGUAUUGAGAAGGAGCUCUGACCGCCAGCGUCCUCGGCAGGGAGUCCCGGACUCCUGCUUCCUCCCGGAAGGCCUCAGGCCCCUUCCGUAGCCCAGAGAUGAAUCCCGAGCUCUUGCACUUCACAGCUCUGGAGGCGCUUUUUGUUCUCCCAGAGUGAGGCGGGCGGACAGAGCUACUGUUAGCCGGCGGGUGGAGGCCCGGGACGCUAUGUUGGGUCCUGUAGAGCUAGGCGCAAGCAGUGCAAAUUAGCGGUAGUGCUGGGCGUGGAAAUCCUUCAGCUCUGUGAAGCUCAGUCCUGUCACUUUUAGUAACUCUAAGCGACAAGGCAGGUUUACCGCCCAUGGAGUCACUGGAAGAUCGCUCUCCAGUCAAAUAAGUUGCGCAAUCAAAUAGACACAUCACCUCAUCUUCUGCCUGCCCUUUUGAGCUUGUGCCUGCAUAGAGAUCAGAUUGAAGAUAAUUUCUGUCAGUACCUACAGAUGUUUUCAGACAACCUGCCAUGCAGGACAGAGGUCCAGUGUGGGAUGUACAUGUUAAGAAGGCUAAGAUGGACAAGCUGAAAAGGGCGCAUCCUCAGCACCCCUGGGAAGGAGAGUGGCUGGGGAGACUUCCUAUCUUCUGUUGAUGCCAGGGUGCUGCCCUUGGUGUCUGUGGGAGGCAGAAGUAUAUCUGACCCAUCUACAGCAUCGUGUUCAGGAACUCUGGUGUUGGAGUCGGGAUGGCAGCAGCUGUUAUUCCUCUGAUACAUGUUCAGUCUUCUCUGUACCCACUCUCUCCCGAGAAAGGACACACAGGGGAAGGGCUGGCCAAUGAGUUCUUGACAAACUUGAUAGAGGAGCUGGUGUCCUUCGAAGAUGUGACUGUGCAGUUCACAAAGGAGGAGUGGGCUUUGCUGGAUCCUUUGCAAAGAACUCUGUACAGGAAGGUAAUGCUGGAAAACUGGAAGAACCUGGUUUCACUUGGUAAGCCACCAUCAGCCCUGUGCUGCAGUUAUUUAAUGACUCGAGCAAGAUUUUCAGUCCAGUUUAUUUAUUGGUAUAAAACAAAACAAUAUUUA